UACGUAGGGGGCUAGCGUUGUCCGGAAUCAUUGGGCGUAAAGAGCGUGUAGGCGGCCCGGUAAGUCCGCUGUGAAAGUCGGGGGCUCAACCCUCGAAUGCCGGUGGAUACUGUCGGGCUAGAGUGCGGAAGAGGCGAGUGGAAUUCCUGGGUGUAGCGGUGAAAUGCGCAGAUAUCAGGAGGAACACCGAUUGCGAAGGCAGCUCGCUGGGACGUUACUGACGCUGAGACGCGAAAGCGUGGGGAGCAAACAGG
rnacentral:rRNA from 1 species